rnacentral:rRNA from 1 species
GACGAACCGUGCGAACGUUGUUCGGAAUCACUGGGCUUAAAGGGCGCGUAGGCGGGUCAGCAAGUCCGGGGUGAAAUCUUUCGGCUCAACCGGAAAAGUGCCUCGGAUACUGCUGGCCUUGAGGGAGGUAGGGGUUUGUGGAACUUCUGGUGGAGCGGUGAAAUGCGUUGAUAUCAGAAGGAACGCCGGUGGCGAAAGCGACGAACUGGACCUCUUCUGACGCUGAGGCGCGAAAGCUAGGGGAGCAAACGGG